GAAAAAGAAACAGAAAAAAGAACCCUAAGCCAUUCUCUCUGUUUUCGAAGAGUAAAUUAUGCGGUUCAAACUGAUUUGCUCAUCACCUGUGACUGAUAAAAAAUCGUUCUACAAUUUUCUUCUCUUUCUAUUCAAGAUUGAUAGCUAAAUAUAGGCCAGCAAUGCCAGUAUUGUCUGUUGUAAUUCCUCGACUCAAGAUAAAUCAACUGAAGUGGAGUUCUAGCGGUGCAUUUGAGGCAAGGCAAUCUCUUAUUGUCCGGGUUCUUUUCCCAAUGCUGGCUGAUCCUCGACAUCUUGUACGUCAUCUCAUCACUCCCCAUUCACUUUGAAGAAAAGGAUGUAGAAAAGAUACAUGCCAUUACCAAAUGAAUGCAGCUUGCUAGGAACCCAUUGCCUUUUAGCAUCUCCUCUAUAAACUCUCAA